GAACAGGAUAUUUUGAUUUCAAAAUAGAAAUAAUUGCAAGGGGGGUCACAUAUUGGCAACAACAAUAGGGAACCUUGAGCAUUCAAUGAGAAUUCAUGACCACAUUCUGCAACAUAUGUUCAUAAAACCAUAUCAAACAUAAAUAAUUAUGGCAAGCACAGCCAUUUAACUGCAAGGAAUCUUUCAUGGACUACUUGGAUUGGUGUUGAAUGAACCAACUAGUCUAUCAGGACACACUAUAUAGAUGUGAGAUCAUGCUGAAAUAAUUUCUUUCCCUGUUCUAUUCGCCUCCCAUCAUCUUGAAGAUAUCACCAAACAUGCCUUGAAGAGGACUUUUACGCUGUAUGCCAUAGAACUUCUUUGCAACUUCAUCUAGCAACUCAUUAAAUAGAGGAUCUCUAUCUAUGCUAGUCUUGUAGUUCUGUCUCAACAUAUUAAAGAGAGGUAAAGCAUCUCUCUGCAACGUCAGCAAAAGGUAGUUGACAAACUCCAUUAAUUCUGACCGAGGAAAGUCAAGAUGCUUCGACUGCAUUUCCUUUUCCACCUCGUCCAUGAGCUUGUUAGCAUCUCUUAGAUUUCCCAGAGACAAGUACAUCAAAAUAGCCCGGGCAAUAGCCAAAUCAUCCUCUCCUGGAUAGCACUUGCCCAUAAAAUUAAUGAUAGUCGAAGCAAAUUUCUUGAGAUUCCUUCCUCUAACAAAAUGAAAAGAUACUUUUACCAUGUCCACUUCAGGAGAUUGAGAAUACAUAUAAUCUGCCAGCAUCUCAUGCAGCUCUGGAGAUCCGUACCUAAGUGCACCAAAUUCAACUGACCACUUGAUAGAAGCUUUUAAGAAAGAAGAACAGCAAUCUACUCGGGUUUUGGCUGCUGCGAUGGCUUCUGAAAGUUUUUGCAUCUCAUCAUCAUCGUCAUCCGUGAGGUCCAAAUUUUGUGGCACCGAAGGUCGAGGAAAUUUCUCAUAGAUUUUCCUGACAUGGUCAAGAGUUUCUUCAUUAUAAGAAACUUUUCCUUUUACAAGAGUUUCAACAAACAACAAAGCAAGCUCUGACCCACAGGUAACCUGUCCAUUCUCCAAUUGUAAGCAAGCACCACACUUAAGAAUAUCCAAAGCUUCAGAGUACCUCUCAGCAGACACAUAUCUUGCACUUAUAGACUUAAACAUCUGUUGAGCUCCAUAGUAAUUUCCCUGUUUUACAACCUUUUCCAACUUCUCAAUAUUCUCUUGAGCUGGAGGCAGUGUCGCACGUUUGGCUCUCUCUCGAGACAUCCUUGCGAUGAAAAAGUUGAGAGGAGGUUGAAGAAUCAGAGGUUUU
rnacentral:misc_RNA from 1 species